rnacentral:rRNA from 1 species
GACGAACGCUGGCGGCGUGCUUAACACAUGCAAGUCGUACGGUAAGGCCCUUUCGGGGGUACACGAGUGGCGAACGGGUGAGUAACACGUGAGUAACCUGCCCACAACUUUGGGAUAACGCUAGGAAACUGGUGCUAAUACUGGCUAUGUGCUCCUGCUGCAUGGUGGGGGUUGGAAAGCUCCGGCGGUUGUGGAUGGACUCGCGGCCUAUCAGCUUGUUGGUGGGGUAGUGGCUUACCAAGGCGGCGACGGGUAGCCGGCCUGAGAGGGUGACCGGCCACAUUGGGACUGAGAUACGGCCCAGACUCCUACGGGAGGCAGCAGUGGGGAAUAUUGCACAAUGGGCGCAAGCCUGAUGCAGCAACGCCGCGUGCGGGAUGACGGCCUUCGGGUUGUAAACCGCUUUCAGCAGGGACGAAGCUUUUUGUGACGGUACCUGCAGAAGAAGCACCGGCUAACUACGU